rnacentral:sRNA from 1 species
AAAUUGAUCUGUAUCUAAAAAAGAAAUGGGACAAGCCAUUAAGAAAACAUAGAAGACUCACUACAUUUGCCAAA